UACGUAGGGUGCAAGCGUUAAUCGGAAUUACUGGGCGUAAAGCGUGCGCAGGCGGUUGUGCAAGACCGAUGUGAAAUCCCCGGGCUUAACCUGGGAAUGGCAUUGGUGACUGCACGUCUAGAGUGUGUCAGAGGGGGGUAGAAUUCCACGUGUAGCAGUGAAAUGCGUAGAGAUGUGGAGGAAUACCGAUGGCGAAGGCAGCCCCCUGGGAUAACACUGACGCUCAUGCACGAAAGCGUGGGGAGCAAACAGG
rnacentral:rRNA from 1 species